AACGAACGCUGGCGGCAUGCCUAACACAUGCAAGUCGAACGAGACCUUCGUGUCUAGUUGCGCUCGGGUGCGUAACGCGUGGGAACCUGCCCCUAGGUUCGGAAUAAUUCCCUUUAAGGGGUGCUAAUACCGGGUAAUGUCCUCUGACCAAAGAUUUAUCGCCUUUGGGUGGGCCCGGGUUGGUUUAGCCUGUUGGUAGGGUAAAAGCCUACCAAGGCGACGAUACAUAGCUGGUCUGAGAGGAUGAUCAGCCACACUGGGACUGAGGCACGGCCCAGACUACUAGGGGAGGGAGGAGUGGGGAAUACUGGAAGAUGGGGGAAAGCAUGAUCCAGCAAGGCCGCGUGAGUGAUGAAGGCGUUAGGGUUGUAAAGCUCUUUUACACGGGAUGAUAAUGACAGUACCGGGAGAAUAAGCACCGGCUAACUCCGUG
rnacentral:rRNA from 1 species